UGAAAUCAGUUUUUACUCAACUUAUACAUGCAAGUCUCCGCACCCCUGUGAGAACACCCUUACACUCCUAGUUGGAAUAAGGAGCUGGUAUCAGGCACAACAACUAGCCCAAGACACCUAGCUACGCCACACCCACAAGGGAACUCAGCAGUAAUUAACAUUGAAUAUAAGCGCCAGCUUGAUUCAGUUAGAGUAAAAAGGGCAGGCAAAUAUGGUGCCAGCCGCCGCGGUUACACCAUGUGGCCCAAGCUGACUUCUUCCGGCGUAAAGAGUGAUUAAAGUAACAUGCUACUGUAGUUAAACUAGAAUAAAGUUGUGAUAAGCUUAUAUCUAGGAAACCCAAAAACGAAAGUUACUACACCCACAACAACU
rnacentral:rRNA from 1 species